AUACUCCCUCACAGCAGAGUAGCUGCACUGUUUUAUCACUACUGUUUGCUCACCCAAGUCUGAUCCUAUUCUGGUUCAGAGGUUUUGAACUAUCGCUUUCCGUUGGAAAUUUUUCCGGCAACUCCCGCGCUUUUAGUUCCAUUAUUUCCGCUGCCUUUGUGGGUGUGUGUGGGUGUGUUUUGUUUUCUUGGACAGGUGCCUAUCUCUCCGGCGAGGAUCCCCGGCAACUCUCGUACAGACUCGCGGCAGGAUGCAAUAGAGCCGCACAUUCUGCUAAGAUUCAG
rnacentral:lncRNA from 1 species